rnacentral:tRNA from 1 species
AGUGAGAUAGACUAAAAAAGUUAUUGGAUUCAUAAUUCAGCGAUACCAUUCAGGUUCUCAUU